GUGUCUUCAUUUGGGAUAUUUAACAAAAAUUUGUAAACAUUGCCAUGAACUCUACCUUCACUCUAAAACUCUCCAUAACUUUUCAAAGUCAACAACCUCCACCUCUCUACCAUAGAUGUAGAACACAACCAGUAUGCAAUACCAAAACUAACCUCCACCUAUACUUGGCUACUCUCUAGCAGCAAAGAUUUUAUUUCCACACAU
rnacentral:lncRNA from 1 species